rnacentral:tRNA from 1 species
GGGGAAGUACUCAAGUGGCUGAAGAGGCGCCCCUGCUAAGGGUGUAGGUCGUAACUCGGCGCGAGGGUUCGAAUCCCUCCUUCCCCG